ensembl:lincRNA
ACAUCCCUAGGAGGGGCUUGUGACAUCACUAGCUGCUGGGACAUAGCACUAUCAGGUUACUCUUUUGGUGGGAGAAGAAGUAUGACGGGAAGAAGCCUGUCCCUUGUCGGGAGAAGUCAUACUUUAACAUGGAGGCUGCUAUUGCAUGUGGCAGCCACCUUACGGCAAGGGAAAUAUAACAGCUUUAAAUCAAGAUGAAUCAUGCAACUGGGAGAAAACUGAGCCUACGGAAUGGAAAGUUACUGGUUUUAUAAAAAAAAAAUAAGUGAAUAUUGUCAGAAAUAGGACUACAAAGAAAUAAGACUUGCUAAGGCAAAAGCAGAAAGAAAAAAAGAUCUCCAUUAUAUUACAUGUCUGCUCAUCAGCAGAACAAAUUCCCAUGGCUCUCAGUUUCUAAUCAGAGGGAAGUAAUUUUCCUUUCUCACCUGACUGAUUCUCCUACUUGGCUCAUGGAGCUGACUGAUCCCCAACCCCUCCCUCCAGUGUUUCUCAAACAUCUUUAAUCAGGAUGCAACCUUCAGUGUCUUAGAAGUCCCUGGCUAUGUCAGCAAGAAUUAACCUAACUAUGCCUCAGAUGUAAGUAUCAGAAAAUUAGGCUCAGGUUUUGAAAAAAUUACAUCUAAUUAUAAUAUA